GUCUAUGGCCAUGCUACCCUGAACAAGCCCGAUCCCAUCUGAUCUCAGAAGCUAAGCAGGGUCAGGCCUGGCUAGUACUUGGAUGGUCCCAUGGAUUGAAUCUAGCCCAUGACAUUUUCU
rnacentral:rRNA from 1 species